AAAUCCGAAGGAUUUGUUGGAAGCUGAAAAAAACGUGUUUGUCAUCGUAAAGAAAACAGAAAAAAGUUAGCUCUAUUCGAAGACUCGAAUUGUACCAUCAGAGAUUACUCGAGACUACCUACUCACGAAAAAGCGCUCAAACCAUAUAGCUGUGUAGAUCUGUGUAGAUUUUUCGAAGUCCGCAAAAUUGGUAGCAGUUGAUUAUUGAUCGUUGCUAGGAUUGCUAGGCAACGUCACCAAGAACGGAAGAAACUGAUCAGAAAAAUGUGUGACGUGGAGUUGACACAAACCCGUGAUGCUAUUCUCAUUCGUUAGCGCGUAAAAAAGCCUUUCUCGUUCACGCGAAAUUGCGAGACAACUCUCAGUAGCAUUUACACUUGUCUGUGCUCUUCAUUGCAUUAAGGUGAAGUUAUGUAGAAGCCAGGAACGCACACUUGUUGCCAGACAUUGAAGCGCUUGUUUACAUUGAGGAAAAAUGGAAUUCGAAGUGAAAAUUCAAACGCACAGGUGGGAGUUUUCGGACAUUUUCCUUUGGUCAUCUGCACAUUGGCAGAAAAUUUGAAGUUUUGUUAGUAAACGAUUAAACUUUCGCGGGUGUUUUUUCAGUGGUGUGUGAUGAAAGUGCAUUUGAAAAAGUGUUCUGAAAAUGAGAAGAAGAAAAAUAAGAGUCUUUCGAAAAGAAACCCCAAGUGAAGAGGGGUGAUAUUUUCGCACAAAAUAAGAGCUACACAUAGAAUUCCGUCAAAAACUUGAUUAUAUAGGAAAAUGUUUUAGCUUCCUCAAGUAGCAGUUUCGUGGUACACCGGCAAGGUUAGUGUAUUGUAAAACGUAUUUUCACAUUUUCUCACGUCGGAUACAUGGUUAGGCAGGGGAGAGGGAUGUGUGCGGCGUAGGACCUAUGUUGUGACUCGCUUGUAUAAUGUUCUUAAAU